UCAUGACUGGGGUGAAGUCGUAACAAGGUAGCGCUAGGGGAACCUGGCGCUGGAUCACCUCCUUAUACGAUGAU
rnacentral:rRNA from 2 species